AUGUAUGGUUUUGAUGAGGGUAUGCUUGUCACCAUGGAUCUUGGUGAUCCUACAAUCCAGCAAGACAAUAUGGACAUUUGGGUCCUUGUGGAUACACCUCCAAUUCUUCCCCCAUCUUAUUUUCAUUCUUUAAAGAAUGUGCGGAAGAUGGUAGACAAAACCCACGACACCGAUGGCUCCGAAUUAACUUAUAAGGAGAAAUAUCAUAUGAUCGCAUUUUGUAUUGAUCUUGAGAAUUACAAUGUCUACAAUCGAACUCCUCAACAUUAUGGUCAAUACGUGCCACUAGUGCACGUGUUGAACUACGGUAACUACCAUGGAGAUACCCUAGUAAGAAUUUUUUACUAUUACGACAUCCCUGCAUCUUUUUAA
rnacentral:rRNA from 1 species